rnacentral:rRNA from 1 species
GAUGAACGCUGGCGGCGUGCUUAACACAUGCAAGUCGAACGAUGAAGCCCAGCUUGCUGGGUGGAUUAGUGGCGAACGGGUGAGUAACACGUGAGCAACCUGCCCCUGACUCUGGGAUAAGCGCUGGAAACGGCGUCUAAUACUGGAUAUGUCCCGUCACCGCAUGGUGUGCGGGUGGAAAGAUUUUUCGGUUGGGGAUGGGCUCGCGGCCUAUCAGCUUGUUGGUGAGGUAAUGGCUCACCAAGGCGUCGACGGGUAGCCGGCCUGAGAGGGUGACCGGCCACACUGGGACUGAGACACGGCCCAGACUCCUACGGGAGGCAGCAGUGGAGAAUAUUGCACAAUGGGCGGAAGCCUGAUGCAGCAACGCCGCGUGAGGGAUGACGGCCUUCGGGUUGUAAACCUCUUUUGGCAGGGAAGAAGCGAAAGUGACGGUACCUGCAGAAAAAGCACCGGCUAACUACGUG